rnacentral:rRNA from 1 species
AGAGUUUGAUCCUGGCUCAGGACGAACGCUGGCGGCGUGCUUAACACAUGCAAGUCGAACGAUGAUGCGGCGCUUGCGCCGUUGAUUAGUGGCGAACGGGUGAGUAACACGUGAGUAACCUGCCCCCUUCUUCGGGAUAACGGUCUGAAAGGGCUGCUAAUACCGGGUAUUCACUGGUCCUCGCAUGGGGUCUGGUGGAAAGGGUUUUUUCUGGUGGGGGAUGGGCUCGCGGCCUAUCAGCUUGUUGGUGGGGUGAUGGCCCACCAAGGCUUUGACGGGUAGCCGGCCUGAGAGGGUGACCGGUCACAUUGGGACUGAGAUACGGCCCAGACUCCUACGGGAGGCAGCAGUGGGGAAUAUUGCACAAUGGGCGCAAGCCUGAUGCAGCGACGCCGCGUGAGGGAUGGAGGCCUUCGGGUUGUGAACCUCUUUCGCCCGUGGUCAAGCCGCGACGUGGGUCGUGGUGAGGGUAGUGGGUAAAGAAGCGCCGGCUAACUACGUGCCAGCAGCCGCGGUAAUACGUAGGGCGCGAGCGUUGUCCGGAAUUAUUGGGCGUAAAGGGCUUGUAGGCGGCUGGUCGCGUCUGCCGUGAAAUCCUCUGGCUCAACUGGGGGCGUGCGGUGGGUACGGGCUGGCUUGAGUGCGGUAGGGGAGGCUGGAACUCCUGGUGUAGCGGUGGAAUGCGCAGAUAUCAGGAGGAACACCGGUGGCGAAGGCGGGUCUCUGGGCCGUUACUGACGCUGAGGAGCGAAAGCGUGGGGAGCGAACAGGAUUAGAUACCCUGGUAGUCCACGCCGUAAACGUUGGGCACUAGGUGU